UACAGAGGUCUCAAGCGUUGUUCGGAUUCAUUGGGCGUAAAGGGUGCGUAGGCGGCGCGGUAAGUCGGGUGUGAAAUCUCGGAGCUUAACUCCGAAACUGCAUUCGAUACUGCCGUGCUUGAGGACUGGAGAGGAGACUGGAAUUUACGGUGUAGCGGUGAAAUGCGUAGAUAUCGUAAGGAAGACCAGUGGCGAAGGCGGGUCUCUGGACCAACACUGACGCUGAGUGAGCGAAAGCCAGGGGAGCAAACGGG
rnacentral:rRNA from 1 species